AACGAGCGCUGGCGGCAUGCCUAACACAUGCAAGUCGAACGAGACCUUCGGGUCUAGUGGCGCACGGGUGCGUAACGCGUGGGAACCUGCCCUUAGGUUCGGAAUAACUCCCCGAAAGGGGUGCUAAUACCGGAUAAUGUCUUCGGACCAAAGAUUUAUCGCCUUUGGAUGGGCCCGCGUUGGAUUAGCUAGUUGGCAGGGUAAAAGCCUACCAAGGCGACGAUCCAUAGCUGGUCUGAGAGGAUGAUCAGCCACACUGGGACUGAGACACGGCCCAGACUCCUACGGGAGGCAGCAGUGGGGAAUAUUGGACAAUGGGCGAAAGCCUGAUCCAGCAAUGCCGCGUGAGUGAUGAAGGCCUUAGGGUUGUAAAGCUCUUUUACCCGGGAUGAUAAUGACAGUACCGGGAGAAUAAGCUCCGGCUAACUCCGUG
rnacentral:rRNA from 1 species